rnacentral:tRNA from 1 species
GCCUUCGUGGUGUAACGGUAGCACGCUGGGUUAGUAUUCCAGAGGUUCGUGGUUCGAUUCCCGGCGAAGGUG